GCUCCCUGUGUAGACCAGACUGGCCUCAAACUCAGAGAUCUACCUGCUGUUGCCUCCCCAGUGCUGGGGUUCGAGGCGAGCACUGCCUCGCCACCGUACCGCUGCAGGGCUGGCUUCUUGACCAUUUCCCAUGCACCGCUGCCCCAGAGUCCAUCUAAGUGUAUGCAACAGCAAGAACUAAGUACCAGGGAGUGGGUCGUGUGUGUGUUUGUGUAUUUUUACUUAACAUUAUGUGUGCACUCGUGUAGUACGUACACACGAGUGCAGGUGCCCACAGAGGACAGAGGCAUUGGGUUCCUAGGUCUGGAGUUAAAGACACUUGUGAGUCACCCAGGGUGGGUGCUGGGAACUGAGCUUGUAGCAGUAAGGCCUUUAACCACUGGGCCAUCUCUCUCUCCAGCCCCACAAGGUAGGAUUUAAAACUUGUUUGGGGGCAGCUGCUAGCAAUAGUGUAAAAGAGGGAGAAAUUGUUGCUUCUGUCAUGAUUUGAUGAUCUCCAACAGGAAAUUCAGUGCCUGAAGCCAUCAGAAGUUUCCUGAUGCCCAGGAAGAUUCCUAGUCUACAAUGAGAUAACAGAGAUAAAGCGUCAAAACACAGUCCGGGAUAUGCAUGCCCGUGUGGCUGGCUGCUGUGGAGGGUUUUGUUUUGGGCAGGGAUGAUGAGAUCAUGACUGACAAGUGUGGAGUUGUUUUUGGUAUAGGGUAUUAGCCAGGUGGUAUUGUUCGAAUGAGAAAAAUUGUUGUAAAAUUGGCUGGCUUGUUUUGAGACAGGGCUCUGCUCUGUAACCCCGGCUGGUCUAAACCUCGCUGUAUAGAACAGGCUGCCCUGGAAUUUGCUGGCAGAAAGCCUCCUAGCUCCUCCUGCCUCUCCACUUGCUGAGAUUACAGGAGUGAGCCCCAGUCGGAGCCACUCCUGGGGCUCACAGUACUUCACAGCAGCCAGUACCCCAGGGGCAGCCACAACCACUUCCUCCUGUCUAGGCCCCUCCCCCACCGCCAUUGGCACCUGCCCUCAGUUCUGUUACCUCAGCUGGAACUAGUCUAUAAAUAGAAGGAUAAAGUAUUUGACCUUUUGUGUCUGGCUGCUUUCUUCCUUUUCCCCUAUCUGUCUGUCCCUCUGGAGCUUGUGCACCCAUUCCCCUUAAGUACAGAAAGCUGCCAGUGCCACUGCUAGGCCGUGACAGUGGUUGCGAGCUGCUCACACUUCCCAGUGAGUGAUGAUUUUACAUUUCCUACCAGGAUGGAUGAACGGGAGCCUAUCCUAGUUUCCUCACGUUGUCAUGUGUUCAAUGUCCUAAUAAACAAACAUAGCCAUCUCAGGCGGUGUGAACCAACACUGGCAUCAUUGUGUGCAUUGUGUGCAUGGUGGAUAGGGGAGCCACAGUGAGUGGAAGUCAGGGCAGCUCUUUGGAUGGAGCGGAGGUCAGUAGGCUCAUACAGCGAGCACUGUUACCUGCUGUGCCAUCUUGUCAGGCCCUUCCUCAUGAUCUGCAUUCUUAUUUCCUAAUUACCGGUAUUCUAUCUUUUAUGUUUGUUGACCAUUAGCACAUUUGCUUUGGUGAAAUCUGUCUUCUGGUCCUCCCCAUUUCAGUUGGUUUCUGUGUUUGCUGUGAAGUUCUAAGAGGCCUGUGCUCUGGGUGGUGGACUCAAGGCUGCUGGAGUCUCUCCCACUCUCUUGAGGAGCUGACUGCCUCGGUGGAUUUCCCACACAUCUUUGCCUUCCCAGCGGCCAGCUACUUCCUCUCCUUAGAAGGUGCUCUGUCCUUUCUUCCUGGCCUAGGAAUGCAUGGGUUUGUUUGUUUGUUUCCUGGAAUUGGCGCAUUCAGCACCAUUCUGAGACACUCUUCUCAGAGUGCCGCCUACAUUUCUAUAACGUCACCUCGCACACCGGUCCUCAGGAAAUGCCCCCUAAGCAUCUUCUGUGGUGUGUAGACAUGCUUGGUGUCUAUGAGAGCAAUGAGAGAUGUAUUUAACUGUUAGAGACCUCAUCUCACUGCGGAACCUUGAAUACUUGGUCCUGCCUCAGCUCAGCCAGUGGAAAGGCUUGAUCAUGGCAGUCUGUAUUUCUCUCUUUAUUGUUGCAGCGUGUGUUAGAGCAGCUGUGCACAUCCCACGGUGCUCACAUAGAUCCUGUGGAUCUCAGGUGGCAGCUCAAGUCAUCUGGUUUGCAAAGUAAGCAUUUACCUGCUGAACCAAUGUUUCCUUUUUACCUCCGUCCCCAGGAACGGAACAUAGGGCCUCCUGCAUUGAGAUUAGAGCUCAGCUACAUCCCCAUCUUCUAGUGACUUGGAACUUUUCUGCUUCAGCCUUCCAGUUGCUGCCGUACAUACACAUGGAAGCCAGGCCUGAUGGCAUUUGUCUGUGAUCCUGGUACUGGGGGGACUUGCUGAGCACUCAUGUACUGUGGCCAUCAGCUCGCACUGUUACAGACCAUCCACCCUCUAAUGACUGAUCAACGUGAGACAUGCUUCUAAAGCGUCUCUGGCUGAGUCUCGCUCUAACCCAGACAGGCACCCCAGUUCAGGUGAUCCUUCUUCUGCAGGUAGGAGCCGCCACACCUGCUCCUUGCUCUGUUUGCUUUUUGUUGUCUUUCAUAGCCCUAUAACCGCCAACUUCCUUGUGCUGUGGUCUCCACUCCCCAGUGCUGGGCUGGCAGGGUUUGUCCCCCUCCCCUGGCAGUGCAUGCGUCCCUGGAGCUUGCUAGGUGGGCACUCUACCCACAGAGCCAGACUGCAGCCGCUCUUCAUGGUUUUCUUUUCUCUUUUUCAUUAUGGAAACAUCUUAGUGUUGGUUUUUCUAAUUAAUCUUUUUAAAGAUGUGUUUAUGUAUAAGAGUUUUACUUGUAUAAUGUGUGUACUGUGUCCCCAGUAUUUGUGGAAGCCAGAAGAAGCCAUCAGCUCCUCAGCUACUAUAAGGAUGUUUAAACUUCUGAACCCAGGUCCUGUGCCAGAGCAUCCAGCGCUCUUGACUGCUGAGCCAUGCUCGUUAGGGAAGGUUGUAUCUCUUCUCUUCUGCACUCACAUCACGGUCCUUCAAUCGUUAGCAGGAAUGGGGUGAAAAUGUGUGCUUAGGCUAGCCCCAUUGUGCUUACUGUGUUGACUUAGGCUAGUCGUGUUGGCUUAGGCUAGUCCCAUUGUGCUUACUGUGUUGGCUUAGGCUAGUCCCAUUGUGCUUACUGUGUUGGCUUAGGCUAGUUCCAUUGUGCUUACUGUGUUGGCUUAGGCUAGUCCCAUUGUGCUUACUGUGUUGGCUUAGGCUAGUCCUAUUGUGCUUAUGGUGUUGGUGCUGGAAAGUUUAAUGUUCUGAUGGGCUUGAACUACUGAAUUCUCAAGUUGCUUUAAAGUUUGUUUUUGCUUUUUCCAGACAGGGUUUAUUUCAGCCCUGGCUGCCCUGGAACCCAUUCUGUAGACCAGGCUGGCCUCAAACUCACAGAUAUCCUCUUGCUUCUGACUCCUGAGUGAUGGGAUUAAAGAUGUUUGCCAUCACCCUGCCCUGCUAUUGCAUAAAAUCUUAAACUUCAGCUAGCAAACACCCUCCAAAGUAAGACAGACAGACAUCCUCCAAAGUAAGGCAGCCACUGGGUGUUUACUUUGCUUCUUCCUUGCAGAAACACAUCCUUUAACUAUUUAGGGGCUGGUUGUUGUCCCACGUGCCUUAUAACUUCCUGUUAGCUCACAUCUAACAGGGACCAGAGCAUCGAGCUCUGGUGGAUCUGCACUGAGUGCGUGCAGACUUACAUCUGCCAGGAAGUUUCAGGACAGCCAGGGCUACACAGAGAAACCCUGUCUCAAAUAACCAAGCGAAAAAAAAA
rnacentral:sRNA from 1 species